rnacentral:rRNA from 1 species
UAGUCUGCAACUCGACUACAUGAAGCUGGAAUCGCUAGUAAUCGCAGAUCAGAAUGCUGCGGUGAAUACGUUCCCGGGUCUUGUACACACCGCCCGUCACACCAUGGGAGUCGGGAAUGCCCGAAGUCAGUGACCCAACCGCAAGGAGGGAGCUGCCGAAGGCAGGCUCGAUAACUGGGGUGAAGUCGUAACAAGGUAAC